GGCGCGAGGAGGGCCGCAGAGGGACGCGCACAGAGCUGCUGAGCGAUCGCAUGAGGGCCCAAGAGGGGCAUUUCUCUCUUCAUCAGAAGCAAACACGAGAAAGGGCUGCAGGAAACCAUAUUUUCUCGGAGAAAGGACGGAGCGAGACUGCCAGGCAGUGUGUGAAGCUGAGCACGGAGAUGGGAGCCCUUCCGGCGCGCUCAGGAAUUAAAAGUACGCGGGUUCCAAAACCGGAAGAUGAUUCGCCUGGAAAUGGAGCGAGAGCGCAGGAAGCAGCAGCUCCCCGUCGCCUGCCCAGGGACACUGCCCCACCAAAACUGUGUGAGCCUUCAGAUUUUAAAAGGGCAUGCAGGGGACUUGCAAAUUUAAAUAUAU